rnacentral:rRNA from 1 species
GACGAACGCUGGCGGCGUGCUUAACACAUGCAAGUCGAACGGAAAGGCCCUGCUUUUGUGGGGUGCUCGAGUGGCGAACGGGUGAGUAACACGUGAGUAACCUGCCCUUGACUUUGGGAUAACUUCAGGAAACUGGGGCUAAUACCGGAUAGGAGCUCCUGCUGCAUGGUGGGGGUUGGAAAGUUUCGGCGGUUGGGGAUGGACUCGCGGCUUAUCAGCUUGUUGGUGGGGUAGUGGCUUACCAAGGCUUUGACGGGUGGCCGGCCUGAGAGGGUAACCGGCCACAUUGGGACUGAGAUACGGCCCAGACUCCUACGGGAGGCAGCAGUGGGGAAUAUUGCACAAUGGGCGGAAGCCUGAUGCAGCAACGCCGCGUGCGGGAUGACGGCCUUCGGGUUGUAAACCGCUUUCGCCUGUGACGAAGCGUGAGUGACGGUAAUGGGUAAAGAAGCACCGGCUAACUACGUG